rnacentral:rRNA from 1 species
GACGAACGCUGGCGGUGUGCUUAACACAUGCAAGUCGAACGGUAAGGCCCUUUCGGGGGUACCCGAGUGGCGAACGGGUGAGUAACACGUGAGUAACCUGCCCUCAUCUCUGGGAUAACAGUCGGAAACGGUUGCUAAUACUGGUUAUGCGCUUGCAAGGCAUCUUGUGGGUUGGAAAGAUUUUUUUGGUUGGGGCGGGACUCGCGGCCUAUCAGCUUGUUGGUGAGGUAGUGGCUCACCAAGGCUUCGACGGGUAGCCGGCCUGAGAGGGGGACCGGCCACAUUGAGACUGAGAUACGGCCCAAACUCCUACGGGAGGCAGCAGUGGGGAAUAUUGCACCAUGGACGGAAGUCUGAUGCAGCAACGCCGCGUGCGGGAUGACGGCCUUCGGGUUGUAAACCGCUUUCAAUUGUGACGAAGCUUUUUGUGACGGUAGCAGUAGAAGAAGCACCGGCUAACUACGUG